GCAGGGAACUUUGCAAAAGGGUUUGGUUUUCCUGACAUCCUUAACUGGCAUGCUGUCACAGAGGAGAGGAUUUUGCUCUACUAAUUAUUUCGUAUUUUCCCAAGUUGUCAUUACUGUAAAAAUCUCAUUGUCCUCAAAGCUACCUGUUCUCUAUUCAUCUGCUGCUUGCUUUCUGUUAUUCUUGAAUUUAGGGAAGAAAAGACAAAGGAGAAAAUGGAGUUUUCCAGCUUUUUGUAUGGUUGCCCUUUGAGACACAGAGCAGUGUCUCUAUUCUGAGUUCCUGCUCUGGACACUAGCCAUGUACUCACACCAUGCUCUCUGCUGUUACCUGGCUAUUCCACCUGGGUCCUAGUUCUGUGCCGACUUCUGUCUUUUGGUUUUUUAUAAUUUCCACUUUUCAUCAGUUUAUUCCCAGUAUCUCCAACAAAAAAAAGAAACCGUUUAUUUAGAUACUCUAGGAACCAAAGAACAUUGAGGUCAAUCAUGAUCAUUGAUACCUUCCUUGCAGUGAACUAAAACCUUUUGGGAGUUAGUUUUCAGUAGCAAACAAAGACUCCAUCUUUUCUUGAGACUAGAUUGCUAAACAAAGUCAGGGGCUAUUUCUAGAAAUUUUUUUCCUUUUUAAAACAGACUUAGAAUAAAAAUGUACAGCGAAUUUUCAAAAACGUAUGUUUGAAUGAAGCAUGUUUCAAAAUGAUACGUCAGUUUUAAGGAUUCUAAGCAGUUUUUGUUAUUGUAUUUCUUUCUAGACUCCUAAAUAUGUGUAUAUAUUUAAAAUAAUUUGAACUCAGUUGUGUUCCUCCGUUUUAGUGUUUUGCUCUUCUCACUCAUUUAUGAUAUUCAUGUAAAUUAAGCAAACAACGUGAAGCCAAUCAUUUCUAUUUCUUUGAAGUGUCAGUUCCAUAGGUAGUUGGAAAUUAUAGUUUAGUAAGUCCUGAAAAUCUGAUGGAAUUUUUCAGGGGGAAGGCUUAAUUGAGCAGCCAGAAGAGGCUAUCAUCAGGUCAGAUUGAAUCUUACAAAUUGAUCUCAAUUUUUUGAGUCACUCCAGUAACAUACAGACCAACAAAACUUCAAAUUGUCUAACUCUGUCUCUGAACCUGAUAUGCCAUUGAAUUCUGGAGGCUAAUUCCUAUCCCAAAUGCUCUCUGAAACUCAAAGUUUUUCAAAUUUGCAAAAGCACCACAAGGGUUCCAUUUCUUUAUUAUACUUUCCAAAGCUGUCUCCCAUGGAAUGCUGCUUUGAGAAUGGUUAAAGGAUGUUAUAAUCCUCUUAUUUGGAAACCUGAUUUGCAAAUGCUAGGAAGGUAUGUAUGCUUUUACUAUGCUUAUUGGCAUUAACAAUUGCAAAUACCUGGUAAGGCCUUGCCACUUCACUUAGGAUAUGAAGCUGGGGCAAUCACCAAAUUUGUUUCUUCAGCAGAUGUUUUUUGUGUGCUUACUCUAAUGUCUCACAGAAGGCUAGGCAGCUCAAAUGAUCAGAAAAGAUUCUUUAAGAUAGUCCGACUCCUAUAGCUCUCCCAACCUUAGGGGGAAGUGGAAAAAUCAUAACUGUGUUUAACUUCCAAUAUACAACAACUCAAUAUGAAGAAAUUCCAAAGUAAGAAAAAAACAAAUUUUUCUCCAGAGAUUGUCUACCAGUCCACAGAUGUAGAUCUGGCAAGAUGCCCAGAAACCUAGGUAGGUACAAUUUGGACACAUCAGGUUAGUUCCUUGUAACAUCUCGGAAUGCAUGCUUUUGGUUGCUUUCAGCCUACACCUUGUCAGCUCAGCCCUUGGAUCCUUUUUUCAAAUAAUUGACUUGGCAUGUUCAUUAUAAUGACUCAGUAUGUGACUGAUGUCACUGAAUGUCCCAUUUUUCCUUGGAGGUUUGGCACAUAUUCCUGGAUACUGUAAUUAUUCUACCUUUUUUGUUUCUCCUCAUUAUACAUGAAGUGCUGGAGAGAGGCCAUCCUUACUGAUAGAACACUGAUACUCCCUUUUCAAUCUUCUUACGGAGGGUGUUAGCUUGUGCUUCAGGCAUGAGUGUGAGACUAUGUGAAUUAGCCCUGAUUUGUGAAUUGACUGUCAUUUAUAUUUCCAUAGUUGUCACACUCACACAAAUCUUAACUUCUGUACCUUGAAAAUGGGAAUGGCAAUCUUAUCCCUUUCAAAAAGAAAAAAAAAAUGGCAUGUUGGGGAUUAACUGAGUAGGGCUCAAAAGCACCAGGAAAAUGUAAGAGAAGUCUGUCCACAUAAGCCAAGAGCUGAUGCUUUCUUAGUGGUCAAUGAAUUUGCUUAUUAUAGUUUCUAAAUCAGAAAACAGACCUCAAACUAGAUCUGUGAUUGAUCGGCGAUCAAUUACAAGUCCAACUCUUUGUGAAGCCCCAGGGUAGAUACCCAAAAUGUACCAGGCAUGUCUUAUUUUUUAAUCAGAGUUAAAUAACGCAUGGAAUUGCUGUAUUCAGAGCCACAGCCUGACCUCUUAUGGUGGUGCCAGCAGCAGGGGUGGCCUUGUAGAUGGCUUUGCAGUCCUCACAGGUACUAGCCACUGGUCACAUUUCAAGUACUCAGUAACCACAUAUGCUAAGCUACUAGGUUGGACAACACAUAUGAGAACUUUCAUCAGCAUGGAACAUUCCACUGCACAGGGCUGCUUGUCACUGACAAAUGUUCCCUCUUACCACUGCUCUAACUAGUCUGAAGUCAGUCUUUACAGUAGCAUUGGGUAGGUCCAUCUCACUCUAAUGAAGAACACUGUGACACUACAUAUAUAAUAUUACAUUUUCAUACUUUCCUUUACCCAAACACUGAGUAUGAGGCUAAGUGUACUCAAGUGCAUGUUAAAAUGAAAUUUAUCAACCAGUAAUCAAUACCUAAUUAAAAAAAAUUAUAUCAUGAGACAGGGGUGAAAAUAUGCUAUUUUCCUUUAUAUAUGAAUUCUAGUUGAUUCACCUUCUGAAUGACCAAGACAUUACCUCCCCCUCCAUCCUUGCACCCUCCAAUCCCCCAAGAAUUAGAGAUUGAUUUUAUUAUAGGUCCAUCCCUCUUUGUUUAUGAUAUCACAUCUAUUUGAUAAAGAAUGCAACAUUGGCAGAGAUUUAAGUGUUUUACAUGUAAUAUAUGCAAAAAGUGUAAACAUCGAAUAUAUUAAUAGAUCCAAGGUAAUUUGCUUAAAGUGCAUUGUCUAUAGUAUCUUUAUUGCUAACCUCACAUAUAUCUUAUAUCUAACAGGGAGUAGGCUUCAUGCAUCCAUGAACAUACUACCAACCAAGAGAUCAAACUAGUAAUAUUUCAGCGUAGCAUUCAUAAAAUAAAUAAUAGACUUGCAGAGUUGACAGAGACAAUAGAACUGUCAGAGAAAUGGAGGUCAAAUCAUCUCUUUGCCAAAGUCAGGAGAGGUGGAGUAUCCCUUAAGCACUAGAUGAGUGAUGGAGUCACAAUUGGAACUCAGCUCCUGGGACCUGGAGCUAGGGCUGCUUUGGACCCUUUGUUCUUUGCCCUCCUCUGACAAGGAGAUGAGGGAGACCAGCUAGGAGAAGAGGAGGAAGUUGAUCUCUCUCUGAUGGCAGGAAGGUGAGUCCUUCUGGUGCCUGGCCAGCACCUGGGCCAUCAUGCCACUACCUUGCAGAAGAAGAAGAGAUGCCCUUUCUUCUUAGCCUGUAUCAUCACUUUAAGUGUUCCAUCUGACUUCAAAGUUGCCCGUUCCCAGGGUAGCCCAAAUGCUUAGUCAAUGGAAUUUCUGGAACCAGAGCACAGUACCUUGUCCUGGUGAGUUCUUGUAUAUGUGCCAUUUCUCUCUGGUUUUAUGUGCUCCCUUUGAAAAAAAUUCCUAAUUCUCUUACCCUACUUCUCUCAAAUGGGAUCUGAGCAUUUAUCUUGAGGAUUCAUAGAUGUGAUUUUAGGGGACUGUAAAUGUCCUGGAGAGGAAACGGAAAUCCACCUUUCAGUCUGUAGCAUUCAUUAAAUUAUCAAAACUGACUAUGAUAGAAUAAGGCUUAGAACUUCUAUAAGGGAGAAAAGAAAGGUGCAUUUUUUAAAAAAGAAAACAAAAUUGCUGAACUCAGAAAAACUAGUAAACGGGUAGUAGGUAUAAUAAACACCAAUUUAAUGGAAAUAGGCAAUGUAAAUGAAUAAUACUGCAAUGCUAAAGAAGCCUAGGAAGAGGCUGGGGUGGUGGCUCAUGCCUCUAAUCCCAGCACUUUGGGAGGCUGAGGCGGGUGGAUCACCUGAGGUUAGGAGUUCGAGACCAACCUGCCCAACAUGGUGAAACCCCGUCUCUACUAAAAAUACAAAAAUUAGCCUGGCAUGGUGACAGGUUCCUAUAAUUCCAGCUACUCAGGAGGCAGAGGCAGGAGAAUCACUUUAACCUGGGAGGCAGAGAUUGCAGUGAGCUGAGAUUGCACCAUUGCACUCCAGCCUGGGUGACAGAACAAGACAAGGCUGAAGAUGCAUUUCCCUUUUGUCUUCCUUCAACCAUUUGUUCGAAAUCUGAAUUACAAAUUGAAUUCUGCAAGUCAGUGAGAUGGGAGACACCUUCCGUCCUCUUCUCCAGCACUACAGCGGUGUGCAGAUUUACACAGACUUCCUUCCAAUGAUGGGGUAGUUUGGAAAGCCAAGGUCAGGCUCUGUGGUUCGUGGCACUGCCUAUGGUGUCGGGAGCUGUGAAAUGGGGCAAAUAGGCCAUCACUGGUCUUUCUCUCACAAAAGGAUUCCUGCAAAUUUUUCCUCAUGUCUCUGGGGUAUUGCAUUGCAUGAUAGGAAUAAACAAGGACUUCUGAUACCACUAAAUUGACGCUGAAAUAUGGCACCCCUAAUUAGAUGACACCGUCAAGGAGAAUAAGACUCAAGACAGGAAUAUGGUCGUUCUGCUGUUUGGCAAAGAUGCUGCUGAGGGUCCUUGAGAAAACAUGACCACACGGGAGCUGCAGGUAGGCUUUGGCCAGGAGUAGCAGAACCAAGAGGGCAAGGAUUGCUACAACCACCCCUGUUGUCUUUCUCAGAAGUGGCUUGCCACUGUCAACAUCCAUGAGAAGCAAUGACAGCAGACACCAACUUAUUAUGUACUAAGGAAGAGCCAAGGAAUCAUGUUGUUACCUUCCGUUUCAAUAUUUAGGGAAGAUAGCUCCUAAUUUAUUCUAUUCAAUUAAAACAAGGGAACUGUGGAACUCCAUAUACCAAAUAGCAAGAAAUGUUCACAGGAACCCUGCUUGCCAGUUGUAAUUUUGAACUAAAAUUACAUGAAAAACUUCAUGCAGGAAAACAAAUCAUGAAUUUUAAAAAUGUCUGUUGAUCUAGAGAGAUCUAUGGACAAUGUGAACUACUACUGUUUGCCUCAGGCAUUUGACCGUUGAUGCAGUACAGUUCAUCUAGUUUUCUGAACAAUUUCUCAUUUUUUUCAGGGGCUCUGACCUCCAGUAUCAGCCUUCCAAGGAGAGAAUGGUAGUAUAACCAUGACUGGAGACCAACUGUUCCAGGAUCCCUGGCUUAACCAGCCACAAUACGGGUCACGAGAUGCGAUACAAGACCUGUAUGAAGCCAAAGAAGAAUGUAGCUUGGAUUUUCUCAUCAUCAAAGGUUUCGAUGCUGCAAGACCCAGGGUCACCUGGGAUAAACAUCUGGACAAACUUACUCUCCUGAUGUGGCUACUAGUCUCCUCAUUCCCUGUCAAUGCUCCUGUUCACAAUCAAAGCGGUAUGUACUUGUUCUAAAUAAACCAUAUAAAGUCAUGCACUGAACCUCUUGAUGGCUGUGGCUGCUGUCCCCACUUGGACCAUCCACUAUCCUGGUGACCCCACGACACUGCUCUUCAAAGGUACCUUUUAU